UACGGAGGGGGCUAGCGUUGUUCGGAAUUACUGGGCGUAAAGCGCGCGUAGGCGGACCUGCAAGUCGGGGGUGAAAGCCCGAGGCUCAACCUCGGAACUGCCUUCGAUACUGCGGGUCUCGAGUCCGGGAGAGGUGAGUGGAAUUCCUAGUGUAGAGGUGAAAUUCGUAGAUAAUCGCAAGAACACCAGUGGCGAAGGCGGCUCACUGGCCCGGUACUGACGCUGAGGUGCGAAAGCGUGGGGAGCAAACAGG
rnacentral:rRNA from 1 species